rnacentral:rRNA from 1 species
UACGAAGGGGGCUAGCGUUGCUCGGAAUCACUGGGCGUAAAGCGCACGUAGGCGGCUCUUUAAGUCAGAGGUGAAAUCCUGGAGCUCAACUCCAGAACUGCCUUUGAUACUGAAGAUCUUGAGUUCGGGAGAGGUGAGUGGAACUGCGAGUGUAGAGGUGAAAUUCGUAGAUAUUCGCAAGAACACCAGUGGCGAAGGCGGCUCACUGGCCCGAUACUGACGCUGAGGCACGAAAGCGUGGGGAGCAAACAGG